CGAAGAAUCCAGUAUGAUUAAUUCAAGCACGGCUGAUAAGUUGAUUGAAGCAGAGGAGGGGACAGAUGGAAAUGAGGAGAACAUCGCCACUUCAGCUUCAAGCCCUUGAGAAAUUCCAUGCUGAGCACAAGUAUCCUACGCAUAUAGCUAUUGAAGAACUUGCUGCAGUCUUGGGCUUGACAUUGAAGCUGGUUCAGGGAUGGUUUAUUGAGCAGGUCGAGGGAUGGUUUAUGUCUACUGAACCCCUCUGUUUGAGCAAGAAAUUUUUAGUUGUUAAAGGAAGAAAAGGGUUGCGAGUUGCCUUUGCUAAUAGAAAGAUACAUAAAUAGCAGGACAGCCUGAUUAUGGAUGCAUCUUCAGAGGCUUCAGACAGGAUUCAUAAAAAUAAGAGGAAGAAGUUUGCAUUGCAAGCUGAACCACCUUUGCUUCUGAAAAGAAUCACCGUGUUGCAUUUCUGGUCUGAACUCGGGCGGUCGAGCAAUAUAUACAAGUUUUUGUAGAGCAGAGCUUUGAUAUUUCCAAUUUUUUACUAUUGCUGUGCUAUGGCAGUCAAUUAGAUUAUGUACAGCAUUAAAAUAGAUAUCCAUAAUCAGGAAAUUUUAGUUUUUGAAACAUAUUUUUACCAUGACCCUUAGUAGCAAAAAUAACAUCGAUUCCCUUGUUUUCUUGUAGAAAAAGGAUAUUUUUGCUACUUCAGGUAUUUGGUUGAAUCAAAUUUUGUAAAUGUAUGCUUGACAGUCCAAUUAUUUUGAGGGAAAAUAAAAUGUUGUCAAUGUAAAGAGCACAAUGCUGAAGCUUACUUUU